UACGGGGGGGGCAAGCGUUGUUCGGAAUUACUGGGCGUAAAGGGCUCGUAGGUGGCCAACUAAGUCGGACGUGAAAUCCCUCAGCUUAACUGGGGAACUGCGUCCGAUACUGGAUGGCUUGAGUUUGGGAGAGGGAUGCGGAAUUCCAGGUGUAGCGGUGAAAUGCGUAGAUAUCUGGAGGAACACCGGUGGCGAAGGCGGAUCUCUGGGCCUUACCUGACGCUGAGGCGCGAAAGCUAGGGGAGCGAACAGG
rnacentral:rRNA from 1 species